rnacentral:rRNA from 1 species
UCAGAGUGAACGCUAGCGGCGCGCCUAACACAUGCAAGUCGAGUGGGUUUAGACCCACGGCAAACGGCUGCGUAACACGUUGGUAUCUGCCCCAGACUCAGGGAUAACCCCGCGAAAGCGGGGCUAAUACCGGAUAGCCUCGGCUCCUCUGUGGAGUCGCCGAGGAAAUUCCAAAUCCCAAAUCCCAAUCACACAAGGAAGCUUCAAUAAUCAAAUUUCAAAAAUUUAUUAUUAAAGCUUGGAUAUUCCUUGGUGAUUGCGUGAUUCGGUGAUUGGAAUUUCCGAAAAAUCUCCUACGGGAGAUGCGACUUUAGAGAGGAGUCGAGUAAAGAUUUUUCGGUCUGGGAGGAGCCUGCGGCCUAUCAGCUAGUUGGUGAGGUAACGGCUCACCAAGGCAAUGACGGGUAGCUGGUCUGAGAGGACGACCAGCCAGAAUGGAACUGAGACACGGUCCAUACUCCUACGGGAGGCAGCAGUGAGGAAUCUUCCGCAAUGGGCGAAAGCCUGACGGAGCGACGCCGCGUGAAGGAUGAAGGCCCAUACGGGUCGUAAACUUCUGUUCUGAGGGACGAAAUUUUUGACGGUACCUCAGGAGAAAGUAUCGGCAAACCCUGUGCCAGCAGCCGCGGUAAGACAGGGGAUACAAGCGUUACUCGGAAUCACUGGGCGUAAAGCGUCUGUAGGUUCUUUAGUAAGUCUGCGGUAAAAGCUCAGGGCUUAACCCUGAGAGCGUCGCGGAAACUACUAGAGUGGAGUAGUGCAGAGGCAUCUGGAAUGUCGCAUGUAGGAGUAAAAUCCGUAGAGAUGCGAUGGAACGCCAAAAGCGAAGGCAGGAUGCUGGGCACUUACUGACACUGAGAGACGAAAGCGUGGGGAGCGAAGCGGAUUAGAUACCCGCGUAGUCCACGCCCUAAACGAUGCGAGCUCGAU